rnacentral:rRNA from 1 species
CAACUUUCAACAACGGAUCUCUUGGUUCCAGCAUCGAUGAAGAACGCAGCGAAAUGCGAUAAGUAAUGUGAAUUGCAGAAUUCAGUGAAUCAUCGAAUCUUUGAACGCACAUUGCGCCCCUCGGUAUUCCGGGGGGCAUGCCUGUUCGAGCGUCAU